UGUAGCAAGGUUAACCGUAUAGGGGAGCCGCAGGGAAACCGAGUCUUAACUGGGCGUUAAGUUGCAGGGUAUAGACCCGAAACCCGGUGAUCUAGCCAUGGGCAGGUUGAAGGUUGGGUAACACUAACUGGAGGACCGAACCGACUAAUGUUGAAAAAUUAGCGGAUGACUUGUGGCUGGGGGUGAAAGGCCAAUCAAACCGGGAGAUAGCUGGUUCUCCCCGAAAGCUAUUUAGGUAGCGCCUCGUGAACUCAUCUUCGGGGGUAGAGCACUGUUUCGGCUAGGGGGUCAUCCCGACUUACCAACCCGAUGCAAACUACGAAUACCGAAGAAUGUUAUCACGGGAGACACACGGCGGGUGCUAACGUCCGUCGUGAAGAGGGAAACAACCCAGACCGCCAGCUAAGGUCCCAAAGUCAUGGUUAAGUGGGAAACGAUGUGGGAAGGCACAGACAGCCAGGAUGUUGGCUUAGAAGCAGCCAUCAUUUAAAGAAAGCGUAAUAGCUCACUGGUCGAGUCGGCCUGCGCGGAAGAUGUAACGGGGCUAAACCAUGCACCGAAGCUGCGGCAGCGACACUAUGUGUUGUUGGGUAGGGGAGCGUUCUGUAAGCCUGCGAAGGUGUGCUGUGAGGCAUGCUGGAGGUAUCAGAAGUGCGAAUGCUGACAUAAGUAACGAUAAAGCGGGUGAAAAGCCCGCUCGCCGGAAGACCAAGGGUUCCUGUCCAACGUUAAUCGGGGCAGGGUGAGUCGACCCCUAAGGCGAGGCCGAAAGGCGUAGUCGAUGGGAAACAGGUUAAUAUUCCUGUACUUGGUGUUACUGCGAAGGGGGGACGGAGAAGGCUAUGUUAGCCGGGCGACGGUUGUCCCGGUUUAAGCAUGUAGGCUGGUUGUCCAGGCAAAUCCGGAUAAUCAAGGCUGAGGUGUGAUGACGAGGCACUACGGUGCUGAAGUAACAAAUGCCCUGCUUCCAGGAAAAGCCUCUAAGCAUCAGGUAACAUCAAAUCGUACCCCAAACCGACACAGGUGGUCAGGUAGAGAAUACCAAGGCGCUUGAGAGAACUCGGGUGAAGGAACUAGGCAAAAUGGUGCCGUAACUUCGGGAGAAGGCACGCUGGUGUGUAGGUGAAGCCCCUGCGGGUGGAGCUGAGACCAGUCGAAGAUACCAGCUGGCUGCAACUGUUUAUUAAAAACACAGCACUGUGCAAACACGAAAGUGGACGUAUACGGUGUGACGCCUGCCCGGUGCCGGAAGGUUAAUUGAUGGGGUUAUCCGUAAGGAGAAGCUCUUGAUCGAAGCCCCGGUAAACGGCGGCCGUAACUAUAACGGUCCUAAGGUAGCGAAAUUCCUUGUCGGGUAAGUUCCGACCUGCACGAAUGGCGUAAUGAU
rnacentral:rRNA from 1 species